rnacentral:lncRNA from 1 species
GCCCAAGCCAUAUAAGGAGACCAAGGAUCUCAAAUCCUUCCGAUGUGGGACAACUCAACACCUAAUAAAUUAUAAAUCAUAAAAAAUUGUAUAUAAACAUUGUGUGGAAUUCACUUAUCCAAAAAACCAACCCCAUCAUCUGAAGCGAUAUCAUCUAUCUGGGUACAAAGUAGGAGCAAAGUGACCCUUUUGGCAAGGAUUUUGUGGUGCUCUUUCAUUGGACAUGCAGCUUCUUUGGUCCUGAUUCAUAUCAUUCAUAUGACUUAAUUAUAUGCUUAUGUGCUUGGCAAAUGUAAAAUCUAUUGUUUGUUGUCUCUUUUUUAUUUUCUUCCCUUUCCAUGUGUUUCUUGCCCACUUUAAAUGUCUUUAGAUUUGUCUCCAUUCACAUAAUCUUGAGUAACUCUGUCUCCAUUCACAUAAUCUUGAGUAACUCGAUUGAUUCUUUGUUGAUCCAUUCUGUUAAUUGUUACUUUUCUUUACGUUCCAAUACUUCCUCCUCUUGUAUCAUUCAAAUUUUUUGUAUCGUAAUCACUUUCUGACUUGGGAUCCUGUAAAUGCUCGGGAAUGUGAAUCUUUCAUAAUACUCUUUCAAAAGUCUGCACACAAAUGCAAGUAUGAUGUAUAUAGUCCUCCAUUGCCCUUCCACAGUCUAUACUUCUCCAUUACCAUCUCCCUACAAAGAGCAUACUUCUCAAUCACGAAUCUCCAUAAUUAUUAGCCUAAUAGAGCCUUGUUGAAUACUCAAACUUUUACCUCAAGACCUCCGAUUUCAUUGAAGAGUCUGUUGAUUAAGUGAAGCUUCAAAACCCUAUAUUUCUGAAUCCCAUUGGAAGAAUAACCUUCCUCUAUAGAACGUGUUGCUCAUCCAAAGUCUACAUAACAAUUUUCUUAGUAGCGCCUUGUUGAAAACUGGAAGACCUUUCAUCCCAAUAGCUCUCACUUAACGUCCUCCCAAUUAACUGAGUUGAGCUUCCUAGGCCCAUUUGUCGAAUCCCAUAGGGAGUUCCACCUCCCCUCAUAGAGCAUGUUGCUCAUGCAAAGUCUCCAUCACCAUUUUCUUAAUAGGGCCUUGUUGAAAACUCGAAGACCUUUCACCCAAGACCCCUCCCACAACAUUCUCCCAGCUGACUAAGUAGAGCUUCCUAACCCUAUUUGUCGAAUCCCGUAGGAUGCUCCUCUGGAGUCUUUCCAAUUUACCAGUGAGUUGUGACAUCGUCCAGUGCCUGAAACAAUGACAUGAACUACACAGAGAUGCUCGAUAUGUACCUCUUUUACCAUGUUGCCGGUCUUUUCUCAACUCUCUUAAUCACUGGGAUCCAUGUUGCUAGGUCCUUAUAAAAACCUCAAUUGCUCGAACACAAUGCAGAUAUCUGACACUGGUGCAGAUGUAAAGAUCGAAGUCAUCAUAACAUAAUGACUUACGAUUCCCGUAGGACCACUUAAAUUUUAUGUUGUAUGAACUAGAAUAUCUAUUACUUUCUAACGGGGUUUCACUGGGGCUUUUUGCGGGUUCCUCUUUCUUACAUCACGUUAUCUUGAUCCUAUGA